rnacentral:rRNA from 1 species
UAGUACGGCGAGUGAAGAGGGAAGAGCCCAAGAUUGAAAGCUGGCGUCUUCGGCGUCCGCAUUGUAAUCUCAAGAAGUGUUUUCCGCUUCGGACCAAGCCUAAGUCCCCUGGAAAGGGGCAUCAUAGAGGGUGAUAAUCCCGUACAUGGCUUGGAGCGCCCGAGGCUUUGUGAUACGCUUUCUAAGAGUCGAGUUGUUUGGGAAUGCAGCUCAAAAUGGGUGGUAAAUGCCAUCUAAGGCUGAAUAUUGGGGAGAGACCGAUAGCGAACAAGUACAGUGAUGGAAAGAUGAAAAGAACUUUGAAAAGAGAGUUAAACAGUACGUGAAAUUGCCAAAAGGGAAGGGUAGGAGGUCAGAGAUGCGGCCUGGGAUUCAGCCUUGCUUUUGCUUGGUGUUUUUCCCAGAUUGCAGGCCAACGUCGGUUUUGGGCACUGGAGAAGGGUAGGAGGAACGUGGCACCCCUCGGGGUGUGUUAUAGCCUCCUACUGGAUACAGCGACCGAGACCGAGGACAGCAGCGUACUCGCAAGAGCGGGCCUUCGGGCACCUUUACGCUUAGGGCGUUGGCAUAAUGGCCCUCUACCACCCGUCUU